UACAGAGGUCCCAAGCGUUGUUCGGAUUCACUGGGCGUAAAGGGUGCGUAGGUGGUGGGGUAAGUCGGAUGUGAAAGCUCGGAGCUCAACUCCGAAAUGGCAUUGGAAACUACCCUGCUAGAGGAUUGGAGGGGGGACUGGAAUACUUGGUGUAGCAGUGAAAUGCGUAGAUAUCAAGUGGAACACCAGUGGCGAAGGCGAGUCCAUGGACAAUACCUGACGCUGAGGAGCGAAAGCAUGGGGAGCGAACAGG
rnacentral:rRNA from 1 species